rnacentral:piRNA from 1 species
ACUUAUGCUAUAAAGCCAAUGGCCUAGUGAAG